GAGUGUAUAUUACUCCAAUUCCUCAAACGUCACAGGGGUCCUACAGCCAAAGAAACCUGGUGUAAAGCUAGCACCUAGGAGCCCUCACAUACGGGCGCUCCACACAUGGCUACAAAGCACCCAAGACAUUGCCCUAGGACUAACUCGUGGUUUGUCCGGAACAUUCCUUGAACUAAGGUGUAAAACGCGACAUUUCUUCCUUCUACUACAUCCUCCAAUGUCUCGUUGUCCGCCGAGGAGUGGAAAAUUCAUGACAUUUUCUCCCUUCAGCCAUUACUAAUUUAGGCAAAGAGCACGCUGCCCACCGCUAUUAAUACCGACAGCAUGACCGUGACGAGCGGCUAACAGGUGCUCAGCACUCGGCGCUUGCGUACACGGCGUCAACCCCCAUCCCUCCGCUAAUUGGCUGCCGCCUUUUCGGUCUGAGUGACGUCGGUAGAGACGGAGUAUAUAUUAGGAUGGGGCGGGAAAUUUUCUCAAUGAGUUAGUAACUGGAGUGUUGUGAAGCAGAUCUACCGGCAACAUGCGGCGAAUUAUCAUUGGUAUAGGCGGUGUUACAAAUGGUGGUAAGACCACUCUGACGAAAAGGCUCAUUGGUGCCCUUCCGAAUUGUUGUGUGGUCCAUCAGGAUGACUUCUUUAAGCUGCCAGAUCAGAUAGAAGUUGGUGAAGAUGGCUUUAAACAAUGGGAUGUGAUCACUUCCAUUGAUAUGGAAGCAAUGGUGAAUACAGUGACUGCUUGGGUUGAAAAUCCUGUCAAGUUUGCCCGAUCACAUGGAAUUGCCCUAUCAUGUUCUUCAGAGUUGGAUGAUGUGCAAAUACUGAUUUUGGAGGGUUUUCUUCUAUAUAAUCACAAGUCACUAGCAGACUUGUGUUCGGAACGUUACUAUUUAAGUAUUCCAUAUGAAGAGUGCAAGAGGAGGCGAAGGUUGGUGUUAUGUGUAUGUGAAAACAAAGGGACAGAGGUCCUUCAACACUUAAUGUACAGCCCAACUUGUUCUAGUUCUUUACAGCAUGCAGCCAAAUUUUAUGGCAGAAAUUAUACUGUCCCGGAUCCACCAGGAUUAUUUGAUGGUCAUGUCUGGCCGAUGUAUCUGAAACACAGACUAGAGAUGGAAGAGAGUGGUUUCCUAUAGAUGGCCUGCUCUCAAAGGAUGAAAUAUUCACCAAAGUAUAUACAGAUAUCCACAACCGGUUCUUGAAUGCUUCGUAGGACUCGCAACUCGAGGUCUUUUAAUGCAGCCUCCUACUGCCAACUCUACAAACCUGAAGCCUGUAGUGUUGAACUGAGGACUUUUGUAUAUAUUUUUUUUAACUUAUUCAGUUUUGGUGUAAACUAUUUUAAUUUUUUUUAUACAAUAAAGCUAUAUGACCUGUUUUUAUUGACGACUAAUUAUAUAAAACCAGUACAA